rnacentral:rRNA from 1 species
GAUGAACGCUAGCGGCAGGCCUAACACAUGCAAGUCGAGGGGUAGCAGGAUUAAGCUUGCUUAAUUGCUGACGACCGGCGCACGGGUGCGUAACGCGUAUGCAACCUACCUUAUACUGGGGUAUAGCCCGGAGAAAUUCGGAUUAAUCCCCCAUAGUACUAAUGAAUCGCAUGGUUUAUUAGUUAAAGCAUUGCGGUAUAAGAUGGGCAUGCGUCCUAUUAGCUAGAUGGUGAGGUAACGGCUCACCAUGGCUACGAUAGGUAGGGGGCCUGAGAGGGUGGUCCCCCACACUGGUACUGAGACACGGACCAGACUCCUACGGGAGGCAGCAGUGAGGAAUAUUGGUCAGUGGGCGCGAGCCUGAACCAGCCAUGCCGCGUGCAGGAAGAAUGCCCUAUGGGUUGUAAACUGCUUUUAUUUGGGAAUAAACCUCUUUACGUGUAGAGAGCUGAAGGUACCAAAUGAAUAAGCACCGGCUAACUCCGUGCCAGCAGCCGCGGUAA